GGGAAUGUGGCUCAAUGGUAGAGCGCUUGCCUUGCAUGCCUGAGGCCCUGGGUUCAAUUCCUCAGCACCA
rnacentral:tRNA from 1 species